rnacentral:misc_RNA from 1 species
GAUGAAGAACGUAGCGAAAUGCGAUAAGUAAUGUGAAUUGCAGAAUUCAGUGAAUCAUCGAAUCUUUGAACGCACAUUGCGCCCGCCAGUAUUCUGGCGGGCAUGCCUGUUCGAGCGUCAUUACAACCCUCAGGCCCCCGGGCCUGGCGUUGGGGAUCGGCGGAAGCCCCCUGCGGGCACAACGCCGUCCCCCAAAUACAGUGGCGGUCCCGCCGCAGCUUCCAUUGCGUAGUAGCUAACACCUCGCAACUGGAACGCGGCGCGGCCAUGCCGUAAAACCCCAACUUCUGAAUGUUGACCUCGGAUCAGGUAGGAAUACCCGCUGAACUUAAGCAUAUCAAUAAGCGGAGGA